AGCGAACGCUGGCGGCAGGCCUAACACAUGCAAGUCGAACGCUGAAGCUUGGUGCUUGCACUGGGUGGAUGAGUGGCGAACGGGUGAGUAAUACGUGAGUAACCUGCCCUUGACUCUGGGAUAAGCCUGGGAAACUGGGUCUAAUACUGGAUACGACAUGCCACUGCAUGGUGGUGUGUGGAAAGGGUUUUACUGGUUUUGGAUGGGCUCACGGCCUAUCAGCUUGUUGGUGGGGUAAUGGCCUACCAAGGCGACGACGGGUAGCCGGCCUGAGAGGGUGACCGGCCACACUGGGACUGAGACACGGCCCAGACUCCUACGGGAGGCAGCAGUGGGGAAUAUUGCACAAUGGGCGGAAGCCUGAUGCAGCGACGCCGCGUGAGGGAUGACGGCCUUCGGGUUGUAAACCUCUUUCAGCACGGAAGAAGCGAGAGUGACGGUACGUGCAGAAGAAGCGCCGGCUAACUACGUG
rnacentral:rRNA from 1 species